rnacentral:rRNA from 1 species
UACGAAGGGGGCUAGCGUUGCUCGGAUUGACUGGGCGUAAAGGGCGCGUAGGCGGUUCGUUCAGUCAGACGUGAAAUUCCUGGGCUCAACCUGGGGGCUGCGUUUGAUACGUGCGGACUUGAGUGCGGAAGAGGGUCGCGGAAUUCCCAGUGUAGAGGUGAAAUUCGUAGAUAUUGGGAAGAACACCGGUGGCGAAGGCGGCGACCUGGUCCGAUACUGACGCUGAGGCGCGAAAGCGUGGGGAGCAAACAGG